AUGGCGCCUGCAGCCCUGUCCGCCCCGGUCCUUCGCGUCUCUCCCCGCUCGGCCGGGACUACGGCCACCGCCGCGCCCGCCGGCGGUGUCCGCUUCGGCCAGACGGCCUGCCUGCACCCCGGCCACUCUGCCCAAGCUGUGCUGGGAUCGAACGCGCUGCUGCUGAGGCCCGUGGGGCAGAGGAGGCGGUCGGCGCUGAGAAGCAGCGUGGAUGACUCCAAAGCCACGGAUGACAAGGUGGAGUUCGGGUACUCGAGGAAAGACGUGCUGCUGAUCGGCGUCGGCGUCACCCUCCUGGGCUACGGCCUCAAGUCCGGCCUCGAGUUCCUCGGCGUCGACCCCCUGCAAGCCGGCAACGUGGUCCAGCUGUUCAUCGUGCUCGGGAUGACGGUGGGGUGGAUCUCCUCCUACAUGAUCCGGGUGGCCAACAAGGACAUGACCUACGCCACGCAGCUCAGGAACUACGAGAAGCAAGUCAUGGAGAAACGGCUGGAGAGCCUGUCGGAGGCGGAGCUGCAGGUGCUGCUGGAGCAGGUGGAGGAGGAGAAGGAACGCCUGCCGCCGACGAGGAGGGAUCAGGGUAUCACCAUCAACAGGAAGAUGGAGGAUCAGACCACUGCUAACUAA
rnacentral:rRNA from 1 species